rnacentral:rRNA from 1 species
AUUGAACGCUGGCGGCAUGCCUUACACAUGCAAGUCGAACGGCAGCACGGGUGCUUGCACCUGGUGGCGAGUGGCGAACGGGUGAGUAAUAUAUCGGAACAUACCCAGUAAUGGGGGAUAACUAUCCGAAAGGAUAGCUAAUACCGCAUACGCCCUAAGGGGGAAAGAGGGGGAUCGCAAGACCUCUUGUUAUUGGAGUGGCCGAUAUCUGAUUAGCUAGUUGGUAGGGUAAAAGCCUACCAAGGCGACGAUCAGUAGCUGGUUUGAGAGAACGACCAGCCACACUGGAACUGAGACACGGUCCAGACUCCUACGGGAGGCAGCAGUGGGGAAUUUUGGACAAUGGGCGCAAGCCUGAUCCAGCAAUGCCGCGUGAGUGAAGAAGGCCCUCGGGUUGUAAAGCUCUUUUGUCAGGGAAGAAAAGGUGAUCUCUAAUACAGGUCACUCAUGACGGUACCUGAAGAAUAAGCACCGGCUAACUACGUGCCAGCAGCCGCGGUAAUACGUAGGGUGCAAGCGUUAAUCGGAAUUACUGGGCGUAAAGCGUGCGCAGGCGGUUAUAUAAGUCAGAUGUGAAAUCCCCGGGCUCAACCUGGGAACUGCAUUUGAGACUGUAUGGCUAGAGUGUGUCAGAGGGGGGUAGAAUUCCACGUGUAGCAGUGAAAUGCGUAGAUAUGUGGAGGAAUACCGAUGGCGAAGGCAGCCCCCUGGGAUAACACUGACGCUCAUGCACGAAAGCGUGGGGAGCAAACAGG